rnacentral:rRNA from 1 species
UACGGGGGGGCAAGCGUUGUUCGGAAUUACUGGGCGUAAAGGGCGCGUAGGCGGCGCGGUAAGUCACUUGUGAAACCUCUGAGCUUAACUCAGAACGGCCAAGUGAUACUGCAGUGCUAGAGUGUGGAAGGGGCAAUCGGAAUUCUUGGUGUAGCGGUGAAAUGCGUAGAUAUCAAGAGGAACACCUGCGGCGAAGGCGGGUUGCUGGGCUGACACUGACGCUGAUGUGCGAAAGCUAGGGGAGCGAACGGG